rnacentral:rRNA from 2 species
AAAAUUUAAAAUUAUGAUACUAAAAUAGUAAAUAAUUAUUUAUUGAAACUUAAAUAAUUUGGCGGUAUUUUAGUUCAUUUAGAGGAAUCUGUUUAAUAAUUGAUAUUCCACGAAUAAAUUUACUUAAUUUAUAAUUUUGUAUAUCGUUGUUGUAAAAAUAUUUUUUAAUAAAAUUAAUAUUUUAAAUUUAAUAUAUAAAUUUAAAUCAGAUCAAGAUGCAGAUUAUAAUUAAGAAUAUAAUGGAUUACAAUAAAUUUAUUUAAAUGGAUUUUAAUUUGUAAAAAUUAAUUGAAAGUGGAUUUAAAUGUAAUUUUAUUUAAUUUAAUAAAAUGAUUAAAAAUUAAAAUAUGU